AAAAACUCCGGUGGUGUAAGAUGGACCCGCGUCUGAUUAGCUUGUUGGCGGGGUAACGGCCCACCAAGGCGACGAUCAGUAGCCGGCCUGAGAGGGCGGACGGCCACAUUGGGACUGAGACACGGCCCAGACUCCUACGGGAGGCAGCAGUGGGGAAUAUUGCACAAUGGGGGAAACCCUGAUGCAGCGACGCCGCGUGAGUGAAGAAGUAAUUCGUUACGUAAAGCUCUAUCAGCAGGGAAGAAAUACUGACCUUACGGUCAGCAGACGGUACCUGAGUAAGAAGCCCCGGCUAACUACGUGCCAGCAGCCGCGGUAAUACGUAGGGGGCAAGCGUUAUCCGGAUUUACUGGGUGUAAAGGGAGCGUAGACGGUGCGCCAAGUCUGGAGUGAAAUGCCGCAGCUUAACUGCGGAACUGCUUUGGAAACUGGCGAACUAGAGUGCGGGAGGGGUAAGCGGAAUUCCUAGUGUAGCGGUGAAAUGCGUAGAUAUUAGGAGGAACACCGGUGGCGAAGGCGGCUUACUGGACCGUAACUGACGUUGAGGCUCGAAAGCGUGGGGAGCAAACAGCAUUAGAUACCCUGGUAGUCCACGCCGUAAACGAUGAUUACUAGGUGUCGGGGACCCAAGGGUCUCCG
rnacentral:rRNA from 1 species